rnacentral:rRNA from 1 species
CAGCCGCCGCGGUAAUACGGAGGGGGCUAGCGUUGUUCGGAAUUACAGGGCGUAAAGCGCACGUAGGCGGCUUUGUAAGUUAGAGGUGAAAGCCUGGGGCUCAACUCCAGAAUUGCCUUUAAGACUGCAUCGCUUGAACGUCGGAGAGGUGAAUGGAAUUCCGAGUGUAGAGGUGAAAUUCGUAGAUAUUCGGAAGAACACCAGUGGCGAAGGCGGCUCACUGGACGACUGUUGACGCUGAGGUGCGAAAGCGUGGGGAGCAAACAGGAUUAGAGACCCGCGUAGUCCCUGUCUCUUAUAC